GUAGGUGGCAAGCGUUGUCCGGAAUUAUUGGGCGUAAAGCGCGCGCAGGCGGUUCUUUAAGUCUGAUGUGAAAGCCCACGGCUCAACCGUGGAGGGUCAUAGGAAACUGGAGAACUUGAGUACAGAAGAGGAAAGCGGAAUUCCACGUGUAGCGGUGAAAUGCGUAGAGAUGUGGAGGAACACCAGUGGCGAAGGCGGCUUUCUGGUCUGUAACUGACGCUGAGGCGCGAAAGCGUGGGGGAGCAAACAGGAUUAGAUACCCUGGUAGUCCACGCCGUAAACGAUGAGUGCUAAGUGUUAGGGGGUUUCCGCCCCUUAGUGCUGCAGCUAACGCAUUAAGCACUCCGCCUGGGAGUACGGCCGCAAGGCUG
rnacentral:rRNA from 1 species